rnacentral:rRNA from 1 species
UACGUAGGGGGCAAGCGUUGUCCGGAAUUAUUGGGCGUAAAGAGCUCGUAGGCGGUUUGUCGCGUCUGCCGUGAAAGUCCGGGGCUCAACUCCGGAUCUGCGGUGGGUACGGGCAGACUAGAGUGAUGUAGGGGAGACUGGAAUUCCUGGUGUAGCGGUGAAAUGCGCAGAUAUCAGGAGGAACACCGAUGGCGAAGGCAGGUCUCUGGGCAUUAACUGACGCUGGAGGAGCGAAAGCAUGGGGAGCGAACAGG